UAGCUAGCGGCGGAGGCGCUCCCAUCGCGGAUGCUUACACGAUCAACGGCCACCCCGGCCCCAACUAUAACUGCUCCGUCAACGGUAAGCCUCAAGUCUAGUAAUAAGGAUAAAAAUAGUUACAUGAGAUGUAAGAAAAAGGUAAAUUAAGCAGAAACGUUCCUUAGAUGUGUACAGGAUGAACGUGGUACCCGGGAAGACCUACCUGCUGAGGUUGAUCAACGCGGGAUUGAACACAGAAAACUUCUUUGCAAUUGCUAAUCACAAGCUCACCAUAGUCGAAGCAGAUGCAGAGUACACAAAGGCGCUCCACACCGACAAGGUGAUGCUCGCGCCGGGCCAGACCCUCAACGUCCUCGUCACAGCAGAUCAGCCCAUAAGUAGAUACUCCAUGGCUGUCGGGCCAUACAUGUCUGCAAGAAACGUACCGUUUCAGAACAUAACCUCAGUAGGAUAUUUUCAGUACCUAGGUGCAACACCAAACAGCAUAUCUUUACCAGCCAUGCUACCUAGUUUCAACGACAAUCUUGCCGUUAAAACUGUAAUGGACGGGCUCCGGGGCCUCAACACCUCGGAUGUUCCUAAAGUAAUUGACAAGAACUUGUUUGUCACCAUAGGUGUGAAUGUGAAUAAGUGUAAUAGAAAAAACCCCAAGAAAAACUGCCAAGGCACUAAUGGUGGGGUGUUUGCUGCUUCCAUGAACAAUAUAAGUUUCAUUAGACCUAAUGUUUCACUUUUAGAAGCUUAUUACAGGGAUAAAGCUGGCUACUUCACUGAUGAUUUCCCCGGGGCACCCUUAAAAUUUUACGAUUUUGUUAACGGGGCGCCUAACAAUGCUCCUAAUGACACCAACGCGAUGAAUGGGACGAGGUUGUUUGUGCUUGAGUAUGGGACAAGGGUUCAACUCAUUUUGCAGGAUACUGGCACUGUCUCGACUGAGAAUCAUCCAAUUCAUCUUCAUGGCUACAGUUUCUACGUCGUGGGGUAUGGCACGGGUAACUACAAUCCGGAUACGGCUAAUUUCAACUUGAUGGAUCCGCCUUACAUGAACACCAUUGGAGUUCCUGUUGGUGGAUGGGCAGCAAUUAGAUUUACAGCUGAUAAUCCAGGUAUUGCAUCUACUUAAAUCAGUCCUGGCAUCGAUUAUUUACCUAAUAUAAUGUUAUGCAUAACCAGAAAAUUGAUGGAUCAAAUAUAUGCUGCAUAAGAAAAUACAUUUAUGAGACAUCCACACGCUCUUAGACACAUAUGAUAUACUAACACAGACAUCUGCAUCAUUGCCCAAGACAAACUUGAUGAGACUUUAUGAAUGUGGUGCAGGGGUCUGGUUUAUGCAUUGCCAUCUGGAGAUACAUUUAUCAUGGGGUUUGUCUGUGGCAAUUAUUGUCAAGAAUGGGCAAGGACCACUCGAGACCCUCCCCCACCCUCCAGCUGAUUACCCUCGGUGCUAGAAGAUGAAAAACAAGAAUCACGAGGAGGGCUUUUGAUCUUUUCCAUGAUUGGAUUCUUUCGGACAAGUGUGUAUUAUGUCUAUGUAUGGCUUGGUUGUCUCAAUAAAAAUCUCUCUGUUUCUAGAUUCAUUUUGUUAGCUUUUUCGCCGAUAAGAAGCCGUUGUAUAUUGAUGAAUGGUGACGACACACAUCUUAAUUAUAUGAAAAUGCACGUUGAGAAGACAAACAUGGUGAUAUUGAAAGUAAGCUAUAAUGAUACCCUUUUCAAAAAACAAGGCAGAGGGAAGAGAAGCUGUAAAUUACUGUAAGCACAUGAUGACGGUGACAUAUUUAAUAAAGGAGGCAUGAAGUAGAAGAUGCUGAAUGUACCUAUUAAAAAUGGAAAAUAUGUACUAUAAACUUUUAAUUAAUUAAAUGCCAACUUGAUUCUUCAAGGCAUAUAUAUCAGAGUAAAAACUUCUGUACUACAAAAGUGACAAACUAACCAACAUCACAUGGCAUUUUCAUUCUAUUUUUGUUUGGUUCAAAAAUGUUUAAAAGAAGUCGAGAUUUAAUAAACUCUGGGACAAGGCAUUGCCUUUUCUCGUUUACUUUUAGUAUAUGCGUCUCAAGAAAACCUAAGAUCAAUAAGUGGAUCGCUUAGUUCAUUGACAUGUGUCAAUGGGUCAUAUGAACUGCGAGCAGAAUAUGCUGAAAAGUACCUUAUUGAAUCAAUUCUCUCUGCUGCUCGAAGCUCAGAGCUCAUGCGAAAAGUAUAAGUGGCCCCAAAACCAUGGCUAUCCUCAAACAAUAAGAUGCAGAUUAAACCAUCAGUAAGUGUAGAAGAGAAAUUACACGGUAACUAAGAUUAUGUAAACGCAAACCUUAACAACUCAAAUUCAAGAGGGAGAAGAUCGAAUCUAUUUCAUAAUUAGUCCAACAAAUCCAUGUAUUUAUAGUAGCAAAAGGAGGGUACUAACUUGAUGUACUGACAAAUACCUCGUUGUAAGUACAAUUAUUCUCUGUACUGCAUCUCUAAAGAGACAUAACAAAAGACAAUGAAAUAUAGUUUUCCAACCUUUUUAAUAUCCUCUCAGUUAAACAAUAACAGGGUAAAAGUUCUCACAAUAAGAUAAGAGUAACUGAGCUGCCAACUAUUUACUCGAUAAACCCCCGAGCACAAGUAUAAAUAGG
rnacentral:lncRNA from 1 species